ensembl:lncRNA
GACUUCUCUUGGGUGUGUACCGCUGUGAAGAUUUGGUGAAGAACUGGCUGUGCUGCAUGUUGAGAUCUGACGGGGGCAUGGACAUGGCCAUUGAGGUCACUCUGCUUCUUGGACUAGGUGAAUGCUACAGGGGACAUUAGUUAGUGGGUAGAGGAGUAAAAAUAAAGACCACCAAGAUUAAUUACUCGGGUUCCUCUCAUGGUUCCUUUCUCUGUAAUGUCUUGUCCAAGUGGCUGCUGAGAGAUCACACCUCCCUUCCUUUUCUCCAUCUGGACGUGUGUGGUGCUCCUAAGUCAGGGGGUGGGAUCUGUUCAUUGAAAGGCAGGAACCUCUCAUCAGGUCUUUCUCUAUUUCAGUGAUUUAUCUGGACCAUAGAACCUGGGCACACAAGGGCUUAUCACCCCAGCCCUCCAUCUGGGCAGUGCCGAACACAGUCAUUCCACAUGGAAAUUCUGUGACCAUCUUCUGCAGUAUCCCUUCAGGGGUGACAGUAUUGCGUCUAAAUCAUGAACAACUCAAAGGACAUACAUAUGAUCAUCAUCCACAGGGAGCACAGAAGGUGAUUGAAUUCUCCUUCUCCAGUGUGACAGACACCAACGCAGGCAUUUACCACUGUGAUUACUGGAAGGAAGAUAUCUGGUCAGGUCGCAGUGGACCACUGAAGCUGGUGGUGACAGAUGCCUUCAAUGUCAAACCUUCCCUCACUGCUCAUCCAGGUGUCCAGGUGGCCUCAGGAGAAAAUGUGACUCUCAUCUGUGACAUACAUUUUUAUUAUGAAUAUCUUCAUUCUGUGUAGACAUGCAGGAGCUUCCUUCCCUCAGGACUGUUCAAAUCAGACCCACAAGACUUUCCUCAUCUCCCCUGUGAGUCCAACCCAUGGGGGGACCUACAGAUGUAAUGUCUCCUCUACAUACAAGUGCCAUGUCUGGUCAAUACCUAGUGAACCUCUUGAGCUUUCAGUCACAGGUAAGGUCUCUACAAUGUUCCAAAGAUCCAACAGCUUUCUUCAUGCAAGGUCUACCUGGUGCCACUGUGAUUGUGAUCUCAGUCACCAGUGUCUGCUUUCUCUUCUUCCUCCUCCUCCUUCUGAUCUGCCUAUGCCAGCAUCAGGCCAAAUGCAGGUCUGCUGAUGGUGGGACGAAGAGCCAAAUGAAGUAUAAAAGCUCCAGCCAGGCUGUGGACAUCCAGAAAGAAGAUCAAUGUGAUGACUUGGAGGACAUACAGCCUGAGGAGAACAGACACAUGGACACACAGGUGAGUCCUUCUCACCUACCUUCUGUUUGUCCCCAGAACCCACUCUCAACCCUUUAUGUGUCUUGAAUGGCAGGUCCCUGCAGAGGACGACAUGCAGGAGGUGACAUAUGCCCAGCUGCACCAAGAGACCCUCAUGGGGACUGUGAAUCCACUUCCCUCCAGGACCCUUCAGGAUCCAUCUGCACAGCCCUGUGUGUACGCCACUCUUGCCUUGUUCCGAGAGGAGAGCUAAGACAGUGGUGUGAGGCGCAGUGUGCAGGUGCCCCUUCAGCCAGGGGUAGCUCUGCUAGAAUCCUGCACAUGUCCCCAGUCCCAGCCAUCAGCUUAAAUGUCCCGAAGACUCAAGUAGAGAGAAGUUUUCUCAACUGUCAAGAUGCUCUGGGACCCAUCAAACAUCUCAGCAGAUUCCUGGCUCCUGGUAUAUUUACUCAAUCACCUGCAUGUCUGACAAAUGUCUGCAGUUGAAUCUUUCCUUGGGCCUAUGCUAUGGAUACGUAGAUUAGUAAAUGUGGCUUCCAGUCUUAGGCAAUUUACUUACCGAAGGAGGUAACCUUGUGGUCUGGACCUUGGAAAGUGGACCUUCCAGAGCAAGGAAACUUUGGGUCACUGACCAGGUAAAACCACUCAGGUGAUCUGCAUGCACCAAGUACAAGAAAUAACAAGAGUCAUUUCUAUACCUUGGGUUUGUGAGUAAUACUGCAGUAAAUAUGAGAGUGGAGGUAUCUUUAUGAGGUACCGAUUUCAUUUCAUUUAGGUAUAUACCAAAAUUUAAUUUCUCUAAGAAUUUCAUACUCUUACUCCUAAUAGGCACACUAGUCUAUACUCCCACCAACAGUGAUGGGGAUAUCCUAUUCACCACACUCUCACUGACAUCCUCUCUUUUUAGUAAUAGUCAUCCUAAUAGGUGUGAGGUAAUAUCUCCUUGUGCCUUUGAGUUGUGUUUACCAGAUGAUAGUGAUCACCUUUUCAUGUGCCUGAUGUCAUUUUUAUGUCUUCUCUGAAGAACUAAAUAAAAGCCAAAUAUUUUGCUCGUUUUAAAAUCA